UACGUAGGGUGCGAGCGUUGUCCGGAAUUACUGGGCGUAAAGAGCUCGUAGGUGGUUUGUCGCGUUGUUCGUGAAAUCCCACGGCUUAACUGUGGGCGUGCGGGCGAUACGGGCAGACUGGAGUACUGCAGGGGAGACUGGAAUUCCUGGUGUAGCGGUGGAAUGCGCAGAUAUCAGGAGGAACACCGGUGGCGAAGGCGGGUCUCUGGGCCGAUACUGACGCUGAGGAGCGAAAGCAUGGGGAGCGAACAGG
rnacentral:rRNA from 1 species